UAUACCCACACUGGGUAAUUUGAUAGAAACGUGCUGGGUUAUAUGUUUACCCAAUUAUUGGUGUGUGGUCGUUUGACCAUAUACUGGGUUAUGCUAACCAUUGAUGAGUUAUUAUACCCAAUCACUGGGUUUAUCAUAACAUUUGAAAUCAGAGCCAGCCAACGGACUUUUUCCUGGAAGUCAACUGAACUGAGGAAACCUUCAACAACAAGGAAAGGUUAACCAGAGAUCGCACUGGCGUCCGGAUCCUUUGUAAGCUGAUCACGUUAUGUCCGUCUGUGCUAAGACUGGAAGUGACUGAAAGACAACACAGAUGCAUUCUUUCAGCAAGGUGACCAAAAUCUGUUUCACUCUGCAGCACUUGUCCUGGAGGUUUUGUAGACAGAACUGGAAGUGACUGAAAGAAAACGGAGACUCAUUCUUUCAGCAAGGUGACCAAAAUCUGUUUCGCUCUGCAGCACUUGUCCCGGAGGCUUUGUAGACAGAGUGACUGAACGAAAACCUAAAUGGUAAGCCUCUGUUUCUCUUUUGAAUAUGUGUACCAUUCAUGUUUCCUUAAAAAGCCAAAAGACAGUAGGUCUACAAGUUACUAUAUAUUUUGUACAAAGGAAAAAGAAUCUGGUGCCACA